rnacentral:rRNA from 1 species
AUUGAACGCUGGCGGCAGGCUUAACACAUGCAAGUCGAGCGAGCGGCGGACGGGUGAGUAAUGUCUGGGAAACUGCCUGAUGGAGGGGUAUAACUACUGUAAACGGUAGCUAAUACCGCAUACCAUCAGAUGUGCCCAGAUGGGAUUAGCUAGUAGGUGGGGUAAGGGCUCACCUAGGCGACGAUCCCUAGCUGGGCUGAGAGGAUGACCGGCCACACUGGAACGAAGACACGGUCCAAACGCCUACGGGAGGCAGCCGUGGGGAAUAUUGCGCAAUGGGCGCAAGCCUGAGGCAGCCAUGCCGCGUGUGUGAAGAAGGCCUUCGGGUUGUAAAGCACUUUCAGAGAGGAGGCGUUACUCGCAGAAGAAGCACCGGCUAACUCCGUGCCAGCAGCCGCGGUAAUAC